rnacentral:misc_RNA from 1 species
AUGAGAGCGGCGAGGCAGAGAGUUGUUAACCCCGCGAGUGCUGGCCACGGUAGUUUAGCUAUAGCAGUGAAAGUCACUCUAGGAGGCUGCUUCAUUUGUGUUUUUUUGUGGUUGGGUUUAAUCCACGGUGCACAUCAGUGGUGAAAGAAAGCGACGGUGCUCGUCAACUGAAGACGACACCAUGGAGCCGUCAAACAAGAAACAGCAAAAUCCAUAUAAGCAAGAUUUAGGAACUUCGACUAAAAAGAAGAAGGAUAGAGAAAAUAGAAACUCAAUAUCAAAUGAAUUAGCUCAUGACUGGACUCAAAAAAAUGAGUUUGUGAUAGUGUCAGUGCAUGUCGGGCAGGGUCAUGAUAAUCGCACUGUCAAUAUCAACACCGAUACUACUCAGCUGGCAGUCUCUUUAUCGGAUGGCAGAAAAUUCUCUACGCAACUAUGUGAAACUGUUGUGCCAGAAGCAACGUCCGUGUCGUACAAAGGGGCUCGGUGCAUUGUGAAACUUCUUAAAAAUGACCCCACUAUUAAUUGGCCACAUUUAGAGCCUCCAAAGAAGCAACCAUCAGAAAAAAUAAUAUCGACCAAGGCCAAAUCUUCGUCGCCAUCGCCAGGAAAAACCCCAGAGAAGAAAGAGGUUGAUGUUGAUAUCAAAGUAGAUAACAAUACCAUGUCUGUAUCAAAUGUGAAAAUUGAUUAUGUGGAGAGAGAUGCAGAGUCACUUUUAGUCGUAUUCCUCUAUAUCAAAAAUAUUAACAAGGAGACUUCUUUUGUUACCUUCACUGAAGAUGCAAUAUCGGCACACUUUUCAACAAGUGAUCCUCGUUUUCUCCAGCAGUACCCCGACAGCACUGAAGACACUAUAUUUGAGUGGGAAUUAUCCCUCAAAGACAAAGUUGUACUAGACGAAUGUAAAUUUAAAGUCAAUCAUAAUAAUAUUGAAAUAAAAUUAAAAAAACAAGUUAACAAAAAAUGGGGAGCUUUGACCGCUGUUACUCCGGACUCUGCUUUGGGCCAUAAAGUUGCAAAAAAUACGUGGAUGGCUGCCAGCAAGACAGAAACUCCUACGUUGUCUAAUAUUCCACCAGCUCCACCCAUUCCACCGUCUCUAGAGAACAAAAAACCGAUGUGCCUGGUUUCACCUGUAAGCAAAGGAAUGAGAGGCGGCCCGUCCACUUCCUUUUCCUCUUCGUCAUCUAUGUGUGAAGGUGGCAGUGUUACUCCUCGUGGAACAACUGGUUUGGACAACAUAGGGAACACCUGUUUUAUGAACAGUGUGCUUCAGUGCCUAGUCAACACACAAGAACUCAGGGAAUAUUUCUUAGAUUUUAACUUCCAGCAGGACAUCAACAAAGACAACCCACUUGGCAUGGGAGGUAAACUGGCCAUAUCAUAUGCCAUUCUCAUGAGACUGCUAUGGUCUGGCACUAUCCCCUCGCAUGCACCCACCAAACUUAAAUCUAUGAUGUCCAUGAAAGCCAACCAAUUUUCUGGGUUUGCCCAGCACGACGCUCAAGAAUUUAUGGUAGAGCUGCUGGACGGUUUGCACGAGGAUUUGAACCGCAUCAAGAAGAAGCCGUAUAUGGCUGAGCCUCCAGACCUUGAUGGGUGGCCAGACAAGAAGGCAGCAGAUGAAUCCUGGAAACUACACAAGAUGCGCAAUGACUCCAUAAUAGAUGAUCUCUUUAAAGGCCAGUUCAAGUCUACUCUAAGAUGCCAUGAAUGUAACAAAGUGUCAGUCAAAUUCGAUGAAUUCUGCUGCCUCUCUGUACCCAUACCAAAAGACCAAAAGGUUGUCCAGGUGAUCUUUUUUUGGAAAGAUCCUUACCAAAAGCCCAAGAAAUUUUUUAUCAGAGUGCCUGCCAAUGCUGCCAUUGAGGAACUAAAGCAAGAGCUGUUUGAUCGCACUGGUGUUCAAGUCUCUUCUAUACAGGUGUUUGAAAUGUUUAAAUCAAAAAUUCACAAAAUAUUUGCCAAGGGAUCAACACUUUCAUCAGUGGUCCCCACUGAUACUUUGAUGGCCUUUGAAGUUUAUAGUCCACAGCAGAUUGGAGAAGCAGUAGUAGAAGUGGCAGUGGUGCAGCGGAUGAUGAUCCCCAGUCCUCCAACUCGUUGUGCCUAUUGUUCUAGAAAUGCUGUUUCAGGAAGUAAACUGCGCCGCUGUACUAAAUGUUUCCGGGCUGGAUACUGCCACCAAGCUUGUCAGAAGAAUCACUGGCCUAAUCACAAACUACACUGCAAGCUGGUUCCUGAACCUGUUGGGUGUCCGUUCAUUUUGUCUCUACCCGAGAGUCAUGCGACAUACUCUCGCUUGGCCCGCAUCAUGGAGGCGUAUGCACGGUACUCUGUGGAUAUCUUCCAGCCACCUGUGUUUCACAAUUCUUCUCACCGUGGGAGUACAUCUAGCAUAGAGCUCUCGAGUGAAGAAAAUGAUGACAUGGAGGUUGAAGAUGUUGAGCCAGAGGACAAAGUAGAUAGCAGUGAUAUAUUAAUGACUGGUGAGAGCUCUCAAGGAGAUGGUCCAGGUCAUUGGGCAGAUGAAGGUGCUACUGGCAGUGAUGGUGGUGGCUGUGACAGUGGCGGUGGGAGCGACGGCGGUGGAGGUAGUGGUUGUGAUGAACCUCCGCAGCUUUCCACAUCCCCUAGUGUUAGAGCGGUACAACCUCGAGGAAGUGUGCAGUUGCCAUCAGCCACGCAGUUGUUCGUUAUUCGUCCUGUGAACAACCGUGCCCAAAAUAUCGCAUCUUCGGCAGGGGAACCACUCGAGGAUAGAGGAGAUGUGCCUUUGGAUUUAAAAGACAAAUAUUACAUUGCCAUGGACUGGCGAACAAAUGAGAGGCUACCAGUCCACUGUCUUGUACAAAACAAAGAAGUUGAGUGCGAGACUGAAGGCUCAUAUUCAGUGCAGCGUAAUCAGCCCACUAGUUUAGAGGCUUGCAUUGAACUUUUUACUCAACCGGAAAACUUAUCGGAAGGCGAUUCUUGGCGUUGUCCGAGAUGUAAAAAGCCAGUGGAAGCAACUAAGCAAAUGAGUGUGUGGAGGUUGCCCCAUAUUCUUAUUAUACAGCUCAAGAGAUUCUCCUUUAAAUAUGUUCUUUACUCAGACAAGAUUGACAAGUUUGUGCAGUACCCAGUGAGAGGGUUAAAUUUGCUGCCUUACAUGUCAGCCGAGCCUGAAGACGGUCCUGCAGUGUACGAUCUCUAUGGUGUCAUAAACCAUAUGGGUCGUCUCUUAGGCGGCCAUUAUACCUCCUACGCUCGUCUGGUGGCCAAACACGACACUCGUCAGUCUGAGAUUGACUGGAGGUUGUUCGAUGACAGCCGAGUCAACUUCUGCCAGGAAUCUCGUGUGAUCAAUGAACAAGCCUAUCUGCUCCUCUACCGACGAAGAGAUAUGCCAUUCUCCUUGCACAGACCAUUGCCUCCCCCUGCCCCUUCAGCUCUGGAGGAGAAUGGAUUUGAUCAAGGGGCUGAAAUUGAGGAAGCAACACCAAUGUCCAUCUCAUCCACUUCCCAGUUGUCGUCCUCCCAACCUUCCUCCUCCAGUCUUGAAGGAGAGGAACAACUUAGUACUGCUCAGGAAGAACUUGACUAAAUACAGUGAUUUUGCAACAGAAACAAGUUGAUAAAGCCAGAGAGUUCCUCAGCACACACGGUCAACAUUCACGAAUGUUCCUCUUCCCCUUCAUUAUCUUGGAGGAACCUCAUACAUGAACGGCUCACAACUCGCACAAUUCGGCACUCAAAAGUAAACACGCAUAACAGACAAGUCUGUUCUCAGUAGCUGUCAUUUAAUACAUACCCCUGUUAAACUUCUCGUGUUUUCUUGGAUAUUUUUAUAUUUUUAGCUUGCAUAAGUCACCUUGGUGCUUAAGAAAAGUAGUGAUAAUAGCCAAAUGAAAAGAAAAUGAGUUAGAUCCAUGAUAGAAAUGAAAAUCCAUGAAUUCUGGAAGAACCACUUCAAUGUCCUCUAUUGCCUCAUAGACAGCCUGGGAAAAAGUCUCUGAAAGGGGCAUGAACUCUACCUGGAGGAAACUGUGGCCAGAUGACGAAGCAGAAAGACUGAGCAGGUCAUUGGGCUUGGAAGUUUGUGCUGAUGGUGUGAAGUAAAUAGUGGAAGAGCAUGGAGCAGAGCUUACCACAGAAGAACUGCAGGACCUUCAGAGAGAGGAGCAACACACCAGCUGAGGAAUUGUCUUCAGAGGAUGAGGGUUGGGAGGAUGGCCCUGGUUCUCUAAUAUAAGAAAUGUGUUUAAACGGGUGGAAGUGCAAAAUUUUCUUAAAGUAUCACCCUGACAAACUGUGUUAAAACCUCUUGAAUGACAAUGCUAUGUCUCACUUUAGAAACAUUUUAAUACGACAGACAAAAGCAAUCAUCUUUGGACAGGUUUCUCAUAAGAAAAGAAUCCAGUGAGUCUAAUGAGGGGGAAAAAAAAAAGAAAAAAAAAAGAAAAAAAAAAGAACCCCAGAAGCACAAUUACAGUAGAUGAAGUUGUUAUAGUAGGGGACUCCCCUGCCACACAGUAACAUCUCUCCUCCUCUAACUCACCACCUUCCACAUACAUCAUCAAGUCUCCUAAGUGCAGGUAAAGUGAGAAUAUAUUUUCAUUUGUUUGUAUUCAUAUGUCCAAUUUAUAUUAUUCCUUUUGGAAAGGGGGGGAAUUAUUCGGUACCCAAAAAGAUCGGCACUUAAACGUCCUUCUGGAACCAAUUAAGCUUGAGUGAUGAGGUUCGACUGUAUAUCUAUACUUACCCCAACCUUCUUUGGUGAACCCAAGCAUAUAAAUAACUUUACUUGGUGUGAAAUUUUUGUAAUAAAUUGUCUACAAAUGUAGUAGUGAUCUAGUAUGAAGUUUUAUCAUGUUAUGAAAUCAAGAGCUGAUUACACAUGGAAGUUUAUCUCCACAUGAUAAAGCAAAUAUUUUUAUCCACAUGAGGGUGGUACUGUAGCACAAAAGAACAUGGAAAUUACACUGGAGGGGACCCAAAAAAUCCUCUCAAAUGCACUGAGUGCAUUAUUCUCGUGAGACUAUGGUGGUACGCUUCUUCCAGCCAGAGGAGAUCCCCCCUCUAUGUAUCUAAUUAUAUAUUCUGUAUAAUAUAUACAUAUAUAUAUAUAUAUAUUAUAUAUA